UGGGUGCAAACAUUCAUACCACGCGUUCUUAUUGACUUCGUUCGGUAGCAUUUGAACUAAAGUAUCGUACCAAACGCAUAAUUUACCUGUUAAAGCCGAAAUCAUGAAUUUAUUCGAUGUUUUCUGCUUGAUAGGCCCUAAAUGGACGCUUAGGCCGAAGUAGUUCUCUACCUUAUUACUUAAAAAUGUUUAGACACACAGAAAACCUUCUAACAGAACUGAAUUCUCAAAUUAGCGUAUUCACAUUUUCCAUAAUUUCCCAAACUUCCUCUACCAUUCUGGCAACCCUGAAUUGCAUUCACUUGCCCACUGGCGUCCACUCACCCACACAGAGACGUACAAAAUGCUCCCCAUCCCUUGUCCGACAUCGCUCGAUCAACCAGGCAAACACACUGACUGACGGUAGCCAAACGCAAACCAAAAUCCUACUUCUCGCAUCGGAAAAGUCUGAGCAUGCCGCUGCCGCCACACCACCAACGACGACGACGACGACGACGACUCGACAGCUCAGCUCAGUAGUAUUUCAGUUCCUUAUCCCGUCGUGUGCGCGCCGCCGUUCGUUGCUGCCGUUGCUUGGUCGUUCUCGUUGAUGAACCGCGUCGUUGCUUCUGCUGGGGUGUGGAAAAAGGCUGGAUUUUCCUCCCACCUCCACUAGCAAGAGCAUCUCCCUAGGUUCCCCUUUUGCCCGGCCAGAUUGCUCUGUGCUGCGUGAACCGUGCAGUCGUCGGGUUUCGGAGAGUUGGUUGAAUCCUUCUUCUUCCGUGUACGUGUAGGUUCGCCGAAUUUGUUCCGUCGUCGUGACAGUUGUGUGUUGACGGCGGCAGUUCAGUGUGAAAAAUUCAGUCGACGGCGUGAAAAUUUAACAUUUUUCCUCGACCGGGGUUGACUGGGUUUUUCGAUGGAAAUAACCUCUGUCUGGAAGGUGUGUACGGAGCUGUGGAAGGGUUCAAAAAUCAACUCGCCAAAGAUCGAAGUGUGAAUAGGUAGCCGAGACGACGUUAGACAGUCUGGUGCAGAGAUGCAGAAAAUAAGUGGUAGCAGCAAGUAGUGCAAAAAAUGCGAAAUAUAUGCAAACAAAGGACUAUUUACCGCACAGAGAGUGCAACAUGAAAAUGUAUCACAGUUUCCGACCAUCAUCUACUUCUGCCGGUGCUGGUGACGAUAGUGAACGCAGGUGCAGGACGAGGGAUGCAAAUUAACAUUUUAACCAACGACAACCGUGGCGACGACGACGACGACGACGCCAUCAGUGCCAGUGACAGGUGAUGGAGAUGGUGACCGGUAGGAGAUUAAUUGAAGUGCAAUUACAGUUACUGCUUUUACAACCGUUGGUGAUAAAAUGAUAACAUUCGAUGAGUUGGAAUCGAAGGAUUUUUUUCCGAGAAAUUGAGUGAGAACUGCGUUACUGAAAUAAUCAAUCAAAGUCAAAGUUAGUGAAUUCAAAAUAAGUGAGUGUGUUUUUGCCUAGUAUAUUCGAUUUUAAGUAGGUAGUUCUAUAAGUAGUACAUUACUUCAAUUUAACCCCUGCACGAAAAAAAAAAAUCUACGGAAAUCAAUAACACCCGCAAGCGUUGUCUGUGAUUGUUCAGUGAUCGAUAAGAAAACCCCACGAUAAAGUCGCUCCAUGUAAUGAAAUCACCGUAAUUUAGCAAAGAAGAAAAACUGCAAAGAAAGAACGUGAAUCGUCCAUACUGAUAACAGUCAAUCCGUAAAUCUAAUCAAUCAUUCUUGGUGGUCGCAUAAGCACAAGGACAAGGUCACCAAUACCACUGGGGAGAAUUCCGUUUACAUAAUCCAGUCUGGGGUCGGCUCCCUCGGGUGGGGUUGUGAGAUGAAAGUCAUUAAUCGUCUUCAUCCACGGCUUCUACCUUCGACGAGCGGGGCGCCGACAGGACUGUUUUUAUCGUUGAACUGUCAAUACCGUAGCCGUUCGGGCGUAGACGCCAGAGAUCGAAGGAGAAAACGUCGAGUUCGUUGGUACCGCCGAGGAGAUCAUCAUCGACUGUCGCUGGAAGGGGCACUGCCCGAAGGCGAACGGAGACGAACUGAUAGCAAAUACGGCUCGGUUGUGGUAGGGUCCCUGCUGAAGCCUACCGUUCGUUCCGGUUCGGGAGCUGGUUUCUGUACCGUUAGUGCAUCAAUUAUUACCUGCUCCAAUGAUGGGAUACAUCAUGGGUUGUGCUUGUUUCAAAGGUAUGACCCGAUCAAACUUAUUUCUACCUCCAAUGUCUUCCAAGUUGUAAAUAGACAUAGUCUUCACUAUCAACAAGUCUGGUAAGCUAGAAUGUUUAAGCUGUGUAUAAAAUUCUUCAAGUUGAAAGUUUAUGAAACUCUUCGGAACAAUGUUUCAAUAUCAAUACAAAACAUAUGAAUCAUCCACCGCCUCCGAAUCCAGUGGGUGGGUGGCAAACAUUGUGAGUGACCCCAUCACCACCACUCUCCGUUUUCGGAAUCACCAAUGCUCCUCCCGGUCUGGUUUGUUGUGCUUUACCGUUUCAAUUCUCGAUUACCGUGACGAACGUCGUUCAAUCAACUGGACCGAGAGGAGAGCAAGAGAGCCAUCUGUGAUUUUUGAACCGUUUUCUCUAUCCAUUCAAAUUGAGCUAUUUUUAGAUAUCGAUAGAACUCAGCGCUCACGAAGCACUCUUCCGGUCGUAGAUCGAAUCUCCCUCUCGCUAUCUAUCUUGCUUUAACUGAGAGAGAGAGGGGAAAAUAGUUGCUCAAUUUCCCCUUUAGGUCUCGUUUAAAAACUGCUCCCUGGGAGUGAGAAUACUACGAAUCUCAUCUCUCUCCCUCUCGUCUUGGGAAAUUUGACGCCCAUGCGCGAACACUGCUUAAUCUCGCCCUGCAUCCAUUGAACCUUUAUCGAAUUUUCUCACGCUCACGCUCCCCAGGAUAUUGUUUUUAAACGUUUCAACCAAAUAAGUGGACUCAUAAAUUGACAACCGACGGACGAGCAUCUGCUUAAUUAUUCACGUUAACAAUCGCCAUUCAGGUUCUUCUCGUUCACGAGUGGGCGACCAAGAAUGAUCUUUCGGAGAAAGCUGUAAUUUGUGGAUUCGUCCACACUGCUACAGCAGCUUCAACUGCGUUGGAUAACCUUAACGAAAUAUGACGUUAAAAGCUUUUAUCCUUCGUCACAGGAUCAUCUUGAUGAUGAAAAUUGACCAAAGUCACGUUCGACACACCAAGUUUCAAACCCUCGUUCAUUUUUUUUUUGUUUCAUCCUUGCGACAACGUGAUUCGGACGAGGGGGUUGAUGACUCGAUGAUAUGAACGACAACAGGAGGGCGAGAGCGCUCGCGCUUAGCAAAGCUAAUAAAGCCGGGCGAAGCUUUUGAUGUGGCUUUCAGUAUUUUGGAAUAAAUGGCAAUUGCCAUCGUUAACCAGGGUGGAAUUCACUAGGAAUGUACAACCGUAAAACGAUUGGCUGCG